rnacentral:rRNA from 1 species
GAUGAACGCCGGCGGCGUGCCUAAUACAUGCAAGUCGAGCGAACAGAUGAGGAGCUUGCUCCUCUGACGUUAGCGGCGGACGGGUGAGUAACACGUGGAUAACCUACCUAUAAGACUGGGAUAACUUCGGGAAACCGGAGCUAAUACCGGAUAAUAUAUUGAACCGCAUGGUUCAAUAGUGAAAGACGGUUUUGCUGUCACUUAUAGAUGGAUCCGCGCCGCAUUAGCUAGUUGGUAAGGUAACGGCUUACCAAGGCAACGAUGCGUAGCCGACCUGAGAGGGUGAUCGGCCACACUGGAACUGAGACACGGUCCAGACUCCUACGGGAGGCAGCAGUAGGGAAUCUUCCGCAAUGGGCGAAAGCCUGACGGAGCAACGCCGCGUGAGUGAUGAAGGUCUUCGGAUCGUAAAACUCUGUUAUUAGGGAAGAACAAAUGUGUAAGUAACUAUGCAUGUCUUGACGGUACCUAAUCAGAAAGCCACGGCUAACUACGUG